GAUGAACGCUGGCGGCGUGCCUAAUACAUGCAAGUCGAGCGAACAGACGAGGAGCUUGCUCCUCUUACGUUAGCGGCGGACGGGUGAGUAACACGUGGAUAACCUACCUAUAAGACUGGGAUAACUUCGGGAAACCGGAGCUAAUACCGGAUAAUAUAUUGAACCGCAUGGUUCAAUAGUGAAAGACGGUUUUGCUGUCACUUAUAGAUGGAUCCGCGCCGCAUUAGCUAGUUGGUAAGGUAACGGCUUACCAAGGCGACGAUGCGUAGCCGACCUGAGAGGGUGAUCGGCCACACUGGAACUGAGACACGGUCCAGACUCCUACGGGAGGCAGCGGUAGGGAAUCUUCCGCAAUGGGCGAAAGCCUGACGGAGCAACGCCGCGUGAGUGAUAAAGGUCUUCGGAUCGUAAAACUCUGUUAUUAGGGAAGAACAAAUGUGUAAGUAACUAUGCACGUCUUGACGGUACCUAAUCAGAAAGCCACGGCUAACUACGUG
rnacentral:rRNA from 1 species